UACGAAGGGGGCUAGCGUUGCUCGGAAUCACUGGGCGUAAAGGGUGCGUAGGCGGAUGUGCCAGUCAGGGGUGAAAUCCCGGAGCUCAACUCCGGAACUGCCUCUGAUACAGCACGUCUUGAGUUCGAGAGAGGUGGGUGGAAUUCCUAGUGUAGAGGUGAAAUUCGUAGAUAUUAGGAAGAACACCGGUGGCGAAGGCGGCCCACUGGCUCGAUACUGACGCUGAGGUGCGAAAGCGUGGGGAGCAAACAGG
rnacentral:rRNA from 1 species